rnacentral:rRNA from 1 species
UACGUAGGGGGCAAGCGUUGUCCGGAUUUAUUGGGCGUAAAGAGCGUGUAGGCGGCCAGACAGGUCAGCUGUGAAAACUCGAGGCUCAACCUCGAGACGUCGGUUGAAACCGUCUGGCUAGAGUCCGGAAGAGGAGAGUGGAAUUCCCGGUGUAGCGGUGAAAUGCGUAGAUAUCUGGAGGAACACCGGUGGCGAAGGCGGCAUCCUGGACCGACACUGACGCUGAGGCUCGAAAGCGUGGGGAGCAAACAGG